rnacentral:tRNA from 1 species
GGGGCGUUGGCGCAAUUGGUAGCGCACCUGCUUUGCAAGCAGGGGGUUGUCGGUUCGAGUCCGAUACGCUCCACCA